UAAGGAAGAGCGAAUCACUGGACAGAGUCUAGGGUGCCGAUCUCCCCGGCUGGCCCAGGACUAAGGGGCUUCCCAGGAGGUGGGAAGAGGCAUGAAGGGGACUUCUGCAUGGACAUCCAAUGGGGCGCGCUGGCCCAGGACUCAUGGAGAACAUUGUCAAGCAAGAGGCCACGCCAAACCGAAUUACAAGAAUACCCCCUGAAGUCGUUCAUCGGAACAAGGCAUGAUGGAAAUGUUGGGGAGUGCAAAGAGUGUCCUAUAUCACCUGUAUUCUUCGACAGUGAAGGAUGGGUAAAACACACACUAUGCACACAAAGCUAUCAUCCAGCACAGAGUGUGAUAAAAGCCAGUCAUCCAUUCACCAACGAUUCAUUGCCUAUGAGCCACGUCCCCAGGAUUCAUUGAUGAAUAAAAGAGAUAUGCG